rnacentral:snRNA from 1 species
AAUCGGACGUCUUCGGCGUUCGA